rnacentral:miRNA from 1 species
UGCUUAUAUUAGUGACCGGAGGAU